rnacentral:misc_RNA from 1 species
UAAAGCUCGUGAACCAGUGUCCUUCAAGGUGCUGAUGCGAACUUACCCCUUUGCAGGCUGCUCUGAACAUGGACAUGCUGAGGAAGUCGCUGUUCCUGCUACUUGUCCUACACAACGUUGUGUACGUGCGUAGCCAGGUGAAUGUUCAGCCAUUUCUCGACGCCUUUUGUAGAGCGAAUGCAGAUAAUAAAGGCUGCCAUAGCAAGCCCUUCGUGGCAGAGGAAAGUGCUGGUGGGACCAUCCCCGAGCCGGGCCAAGACAGCAAUGUGGCGUGCCUGUCGGGGACGAAAAGGUGCACGCAGCUGCCGAAUGUGUGUGUGCCUUCAGACAUCCCCUGCAGUGCCUUAGACGCUGUGUACGUGCGUAGCCAGGCGGAUGUUCAGCCAUUUCUCGACGCCUUUUGUAGAGCGAAUGCAGAUAAUAAAGGCUGCCAUAGCAAGCCCUUCGUGGCAAAGGAAAGUGCUGGUGGGACCAUCCCCGAGCCGGGCCAAGACAGCAAUGUGGCGUGCCAGUCGGGGACGAAAAGGUGCACGCAACUGCCGAAUGUGUGUGUGCCUUCAGACAUCCCCUGCAGUGCCAUAGACGUUGUGUACGUGCGUAGCCAGGCGGAUGUUCAGCCAUUUCUCGACGCCUUUUGUAGAGCGAAUGCAGAUAAUAAAGGCUGCCAUAGCAAGCCCUUCGUGGCAGAGGAAAGUGCUGGUGGGACCAUCCCCGAGCCGGGCCAAGACAGCAAUGUGGCGUGCCUGUCGGGGACGAAAAGGUGCACGCAACUGCCGAAUGUGUGUGUGCCUUCAGACAUCCCCUGCAGUGCCAUAGCCGAAAAACAUAUUCAUACAUCCGCAAUACGACCCAAAUUCCCGCUACGCCCACGACAUCGCAGUUAUCCCUUUCAACUCUUCCUCUUACGACAUUCUGCUGACGGUGUGCAUCGCGGACGAAGUGAUCAGGCCCUCCAGGGACAGGAAGCAAGUGGCGGGAUCUUCGUGCUCGCUGAGAAUCGCCAGACUCCCGAGAGGUUUACGGUCCUCAAAAUGGAGUACGAACUGUCUGGGACUCGCCCCGUCGAACACCUGUCGAGACCAACAGGAUUUUAAGGAGAACCAGUCCUGCGCGCAGUAUGAGGAUAUGUUUUGUCGUUUCGGUGUUUCAUUGCACCGGCUCCUCACGUUCCCUUCGUCUACAGCAACGUGGCGAAUGACGCGCAGUGGCUGAAGGAGUGUGUUUUUUCUGACCGCUGCAACACCUUCUCAACCAUCAUUCAAGAAUUUGGAGCUUUUCUCUACCUGUGCUAUAAUGUGAAUCAA